GCGCGGAUCACGUUUUAUAACUUUCCUGAUAAUUUUUCCAUAAUACAUUAUAAACACGCUUUAAGGUGCUGUAAAAGUGACACAAAACAAUAUCUUCUUUAGUGUAAAUUGUGAAACUCCUUGAAAAUUGCAAGAAGUGCAUGAAAAUCAUCGAAAAAUAGUGUAAAACUUAAUUCACUCUAGCGGAAGAAACUAACCUUGCGCUCUUUCCCUAUUCGUGAUUUUGAACUCACAGCUCCCUCAAAAGACAUUUUCUCACUCCACCUCCUUCCCUCAAAACCCUAAAUUUUCUGGAAUAAAGUUCGUGAAAAGUUAGGUUAGAAGAUCGAAAAAUGUGUUAAUUUACAAAAUAAAAAUUCCUGUUGUGUCCUCUUUUCUCAAUUUACUCCGUCACAUGGUGGAUCUUUAUCCAUUCGCAUUCUCCAUGUUGCUUUUGGGGACGUGAGAGGGGAAAGUAUCUAAGCAUGAAUCGGGGCAGUUGCCCGUGCGCGAGCCUACAUGUAGGAGUGAAAGUGUCGCAAGAGUGGUUCAUCAUCUUUCGUUUAUUGUCACUUUAUCGCCGAUAAAUACAAGCACAGCCCCGCCAUGUCUUCUUCAAAAACUCUUCUCAUCAGGAACUACCAAUUAAUACCAGAAUAACAGUGUUACAGUGUUUCGUGAGUCUGGGUCUCGCAUUUUUUUCUGUUGGCGUCCAAGUGUAGUGCGGGGAAAGGUGCGCCACCGUCCUUUCUACGAGGACGAGUCAUGGGUUCCAAGUUUGAUGGACACGCUACAUACGAAACUCGUUUCGGAACUUACCUGCGAAAAGACAUGACCGAUAGGACUGACUCCGAUUUUCAAUUUGUCAUUCCACCCGAGGCUCCGGUCUUCGAACCCACCGCUGAGGAGUUCCUAGAUCCCCUCGGGUACAUUGCUAAGAUUCGUCCCAUCGCUGAGAAAUCGGGAAUCUGCAAGAUUAAACCACCUCCCAAUUGGCAACCACCCUUCGCUGUUGAUGUCGACAAAUUCAAAUUCGUACCAAGGAUACAAAGGUUAAACGAAUUAGAAGCUAAAACCAGAAUAAAACUAAACUUUUUAGAUCAAAUAGCCAAAUUUUGGGAGCUUCAGGGUUCUUCGUUGAAAAUUCCACUCGUAGAGCGCAAAGCUCUAGAUCUAUACUCUCUACACAGAAUAGUAACUAGUGAAGGUGGAAUAGAAACAGUGACGAAAGAAAGGAGAUGGGCGAAAAUCGCAAAUAAGUUAGGGUAUCCUUCCGGGCGUAGCGUUGGAAGUAUUUUAAAAAAUCACUAUGAAAGAAUUUUAUAUCCCUUCGACGUUUUUAAACAAGGCAAAACAUUGACUGACAUUAAAAUAGAACCAGAAAUAGACGCGAAUGAGAAGAAAGACCGAGAUUACAAGCCCCACGGCAUUAUAUCGCGGCAACAAAUUAAACCACCGGCCGUAAAGUUUUCUCGUCGUUCGAAACGAUUCGCUGGCCAAGAAGAAAACAAAGAUGCAGUGUCACUUAAACAAGAGGAUUGCAAGGAAGAGUGCGAUUCUGACAAUGACUGCAAAGAAGAUGUCAAGAGCAAGUGUGUGUCUCCGGAGAAGGUAUCGGAAAACAGCAAAGAGCUGAAGAAACUGCAGUUUUAUGGAGCUGGUCCAAAAAUGGCUGGCUUUAAUACCAAAGAAGGGAAAAAGUCCAACAAAACUAGGGGAAUUAAACUCACCUACGAAUUUGAUCCUCUGGCUAAAUAUAUUUGUCACAAUUGUGGAAGAGGUGACAAUGAAGAGAAUAUGUUGCUGUGCGAUGGAUGUGACGAUAGUUAUCACACAUUUUGUCUUCUACCACCUUUGACUGAAAUUCCAAAAGGCGAUUGGCGUUGUCCAAAAUGUGUCGCUGAAGAAGUUUCGAAGCCGAUGGAAGCCUUUGGAUUUGAGCAGGCGCAGAGGGAAUACACUCUUCAACAGUUUGGGGAAAUGGCUGAUCAGUUUAAGAGCGAUUACUUCAACAUGCCUGUGCACAUGGUACCGACUUCUCUUGUGGAGAAAGAAUUCUGGCGAAUAGUUUCUUCGAUCGACGAGGAUGUGACAGUCGAGUACGGCGCUGAUCUUCACACAAUGGACCAUGGAUCCGGAUUUCCAACAAAAACGAGCGUCAAUCUCUUCACGUGUGAUCAAGAGUAUGCAGAAUCUUUUUGGAAUCUAAACAACCUCCCAGUAUUGCAUGGAAGCGUCUUGGGUCACAUCAACGCAGACAUUAGUGGCAUGAAGGUACCCUGGAUGUAUGUUGGUAUGUGCUUCGCGACUUUUUGUUGGCACAACGAGGACCACUGGAGUUACUCUAUCAAUUAUCUGCAUUGGGGGGAACCAAAGACGUGGUACGGAGUUCCUGGUUCCAAGGCUGAGCAGUUUGAACACUCGAUGAAAUCUGCAGCGCCUGAAUUGUUCCAGAGUCAACCAGACUUGUUGCAUCAGCUAGUUACCAUCAUGAAUCCCAACAUUCUAACAAACGAAGGAGUACCAGUAUUUCGAACAGAUCAACAUGCGGGCGAGUUUGUAGUUACUUUCCCUAGAGCAUAUCACGCGGGAUUCAAUCAAGGGUACAAUUUCGCUGAAGCAGUAAACUUCGCACCCGCGGACUGGUUGAAGGUGGGCAGAGAAUGCGUCUCUCAUUAUUCGAAUUUAAGGAGGUUCUGUGUUUUCUCACAUGACGAACUGGUCUGCAAAAUGUCUUUGGAACCUGAUGCUUUGGACAUUGGAGUUGCUACAGCAACUUAUUAUGAUAUGUUACAAAUGGUAGAUGAUGAGAAGAAACUGAGAAAAAAUCUGCUUGAAUGGGGAGUGACGGAAGCAGAACGUGAGGCUUUCGAAUUACUUCCUGAUGACGAGAGACAGUGCGAGGCAUGUAAAACUACCUGUUUCUUAAGCGCUGUCACCUGUUCGUGUCAAAGUUCGCAGUUAGUUUGCUUAAGGCAUUUCACGGAACUUUGCGAGUGUCCGCCGGAAAAGCACACAUUGCGAUACAGGUAUACUUUAGAUGAGUUACCAAUCAUGCUGCAGAAGUUGAAACUGAAGGCCGAGUCCUUUGACUCAUGGGUGUCGAAAGUGAAGGAGGCGAUGGAUCCCAAAGGAGAGAAAAUCGAACUGAACGAGCUGAAGGAACUCCUGAGUGAGGCGGAAAGUAAAAAGUUUCCUGAAAGCGAACUUUUGACGGCACUCACAAACGCGAUUCAGGAUGCUGAGAAAUGCUCGAGUGUUGCACAACAGUUGUUGACCAACAAACAACGCACGAGAACAAGACAAUCUGCCGAAAACAAGUACAAAUUAACGGUGGAGGAGUUGACGCUCUUCUACAAGGAGAUAUCAAACUUGUGUUGUGAUCUUAAAGAAGCUGAGGGCAUCAAGUAUAUUUUGGAUCAAGUCGUGCAGUUUCAGAAGGAUGCGGAAGAAUUAGAAUCGAUGGAUAUUGAGUGCGACGUUGAGAAACUGGAAAAGUGUAUCGAUUUCGGUGACUCAAUCUGCAUCGACUUGCCACAACUCGUAAGACUAAAACAAAAAUUGUCGCAAAUCCAGUGGUUGGAGGAGGUAAAAGGAAUUCAGGAAGAGCCAAAAACUAUUAGUCUCGAGGACCUGGCAAGUCUUAUCGAGAAGGGAAUGGCGAUUCCGCCACACUGCAGUAUUGAACGCACGCUUUCCAAAUUGCAAGCUCUCAUGAACAGUAUUGACAAAUGGGAAGGAAAGGCCAAGGUAUUCCUUCACGUUAAAGAACGACGAACGAUCAAAGCAGUCGAUGAGUUUGUUCAAGAGGCUAAUGAUAUUGAUGCCUACUUGCCAAGCUUGAGCAAUCUUCAGGAAAUUUUAAAUAAGGCAAAGAAUUGGACCAAGACCGUGGAGGAAAUUCAAGGGAAGGACAAUAUCGCUUACUACGACACACUUGAUGAACUCGUUCGAAAAGGGAGAAACAUUCCACUGCACCUGGACGCUCUGCCGGUCCUAGAAUCCACUCUCUCGCAAGCGAGAUCGUGGAAGGAACGGACAGCGAGGACAUUCCUGAGAAAGAACUCUCAUUAUACAUUGAUGGAAGCUCUCUCUCCCAGAGUAGGGGUCGGAGUUCAAUCUAUGAAGACAAAAAAGAACAAGGGUGAUGAUUCGAUUGGUGCGGUUUACGUUUGCGACACCAAACUCGAUGAUUCCAAUAAUUCGGCGACUGUUGUUGCUGCGUUUAAACUCGCUGAACAGCGAGAGAUGGAGGCUAUGAAAAAUUUGAGACAGAAGAACAUGAUGAAGACACAGCUUGAAGAUUCCAAGUACUGCGUCUGCCGUAAAGCCAGGUUCGGGACGAUGUUCCACUGCGAGUUGUGCAGGGAUUGGUUUCAUUCCCAAUGUGUGCCUCUACCCAAAGUGGCGUUGAAGGGGAAAACGGCAUUGCCACCGGAUAUGAAAUUCCUGUGUCCUUGUUGUCUGAGGUCUCGCAGGCCACGAUUAGAAACAAUCCUGGCACUUUUGGUCAGUCUUCAGAAAAUUCCUAUUCGAUUGCCGGAAGGCGAGGCUCUACAAUGUCUUACAGAACGAGCCAUGAAUUGGCAGGAUCGAGCCAGGCAAACACUGGCUACAGAAGAAAUUAGCUCGGCCCUCUCGAAACUGUCUAUUCUUUCCCAGAAGCUAGUGGAGGCUGCAGCGCGGGAAAAGACUGAGAAGAUCAUAAGCAGCGAAUUGAAGAAGGCCGCCAACAACCCAGAAUUGCAUCAGAGAGUUCAAGCGAUUGCACCCCUUAGUGGAGUGCAUUCAGACGAUAGUGCUCUCAGUGCAGUGGAGGAUGACGACGACGUGAUGCAAAUCGAGGAUGAUGAACCAUCUUGCAGUACAUUUAACAGUAAUGAACACGCUUAUUCCUAUGAGAAUUUAAUUUCAGUUUCCAAGUUCCAUCCAAAGCUGGAGAUCAAUCCGAAGGACCCAGAGUCAAUGAUCGUUUUAACAGAAGGCGUUAAAGUUCGCCUAGAAGAGAUGAUGAUGGAGGGCGAUUUGCUCGAAGUAGCACUGGAGGAAACGCAUCUCAUAUGGCGCAUUUUGAGUCAUACUACAAAUCCAAAAAGCGUACGAAAAUACGCAUCCUUGAAUGAUAUCAAGGCAAAUCAGGAUGGAGAGGUGAAAGAGGUUAAAAAACGCGGUCGGAAGCGAAAGUCUGAUUCAGAUUUUGACCUGAUGAAGGUGAAUCAACGAUCUGAUGACAAAAUGCUGUUCAAGCAGCGUAAGGGCUUUGCAGCAGCCAAUAAGGAGAAGAAAUUGUCUGUUACGGGACAAGUGAAGCGCGGACCGCGGAAGUAUGAAUUACAGAUGAAGCGAAAGGAAGGGGAGGAGGUGCCGAAAAAGCGAGUGGGUCGGAAGAAGACUAAACAAGAUACUUCUGAAGAUGAGGAAGACUGUGCUGCGUUCAGUUGCCUGCGACCCAGCGGUCACGAAGUUGACUGGGUUCAGUGUGAUGGCGGGUGCAACGGAUGGUUCCACAUGCACUGUGUGGGCCUGGACCGAACUGAACUUGCAGAAGAGGAUGACUAUCACUGUUCUAAUUGUAAAGAAAUGGAUCAAAACACGACGUUAGCAGCGCCAGAUAGACUGGCCGAUUUUUUAGGCCUGGAUGCACUUCUAUCCCUUUCUCAAUCCCAGGGAUACCACAGCGGGGAUGCGGAUGCAGAUGCGGAUACCGAUGCAGACAGCCAGGACGCGAUAUCUUUCGUUAGAACUUUUUAAAUUGAAAAAGAAUCAUAAACCUUGAAUCUACACAAAGGAACAUAUUUCCUGCUGGAAAAUCGAGAAGGAUGGAGCAGGAAACCAUUCUACAGAGGUCAGCCGUCACUCCGUCAACACCUGAUUCAACUCUCGUCAAAAAUUAUCUAAAUGUCACCUGAAAAUCAAUCUGGCAAGAUUGAGAAACAAUUCUGUGAGAAAAGAGUGUUAAGGCCUUCACAAAUCCUUCGCGCCGAUGGUGUGUACAGAUAGACUGAAAAUAAUUUAUGUACUAAAAUAUAAAAAUAGAUAAUUAUUAUGUACACCUUUAAUAUUCUACUCUUAGAAUCCACCAGUUUUAUCUUAAAUGAAAGUAGAGGAAUCUCGUGAAAAGUGUGAAAAAAUGUAAUUAGUAUCUUUUCUGGGACGAAUAUUAAAAUAUUUUUGAGUUUUGAGUUAAGUUCGUAUUUGAGCUAAAUCUUCGAAAUUUCACAAGUGACAUUUUUCUAAGUUAUAAAAAACAUCGUUUUGGUAAUAUAAAAGAAAGUAGAGCGAGUCCUGUGUACAUAAUAUUGCAUCUUAUUAGAUACUACCCAUGGUAGGAAAAUUCAAGUCCUUUGUAAGUCAUCGAUAAAUCGGACUUCAUAAACUGAGGUCAAACGGAAAAGCUUAUUUUUUUGAAUAGUUUUUUAAUGCAUAUUUAAACAGUAGAUAGACUCCCGGUAAAGUCUUUUUCGGAGAAAACUAUCUUUUAUGUAAUAAUCGAAAGAAAAAAUGCGACCUAUUAGCGACACUAUGAUAAAACACCAUCGCAGUAGUGAAUUAUUUUAUUUUACUUCGAUGAUUACAUACAAAUAUAAUUGUCUUCGAAAAAAUUGCCUCUACCGGGAGUCUUUCUACUCUUUAAAGUAAGUAUACAAAAAAAAAUUACACAAAAUGGCUUUUCCAUUGGCCUCAGUUUAUGAAGUCUGAUUCACUCAUGAUUUUCAGGGGCCUUAAGAAAGCCAUUGUGUUUUGUAAAAUAAAAUACAUUAUCACUCAUACAAAUUAUGAUUUUUGAAAAGCCUGAUGUAAUCUGAAAAAUUGCGCAUUUUAAAAAGGAUUUUUCUUGAAUCUGAGUUACGUAGAAUUCUUGGAUUUGUAAGGAACGUAAUUUGUUCGUCGGACGUUGUACAAUAUUGUCUGAUUGUUUUUUGUUUUUUCAUGGAACUUCAAUUUAACGUAUGUGUGGCCCAAAUUUUCGGAUCACGACACAGUGUUUUAAAUUCAGGGAGGAUUUAAAACAGGCUGUGAGAUAAAGUAAAAGUAUGAUUUUCCUUAAUUUUUGUUCGUCUGUUUUUCACAAAAUGCAAUUUUUGAAUGGAUAUUUGUCUGUAUGGACUGCAAACGUUAUCAUCGAGGAAAUGUACGUGUAUAUAGAAAAUCUGGUAUAGCCUAGAUGUAACUCAUAUAGAUUUUUGUCGCUUUUUCGAUCAUAGUUUUUGUGUGAGGAAUUUCAUGAUCUAUUUUUUAUUUAUACAUUUUAGAUAUGCUUUUUUUAGUGUUUGUUUCCUUCUUUAAGAUUACUUUUUCCCUGUUUCGCUCCAGUUUGAUUUGAAAAUAGUAUAACUUGUUGUUUUCCACCGAAAUUCAUUCAUCUCUAUAAAAUAUUAUGAUGGUGUAUUAACAGUAUUAAUAACUAUUUUAAUAUGCGACACAGAAUCUAGAUUUCAUUGUACACCCAAGAUAUUAUGUGUAGACGAAUUACAGAUAUUUAUAAAACUUAAGGUUAAAAUUAAGAUUUGAAUGUAGUUAAAAAAGUUUGUUUGUAAGAUUAUAACAUAAACAUUUGCGAAAGAGUAUAAUAAAUAUUAUACGUACAAGU